AGUCAAAAUAUUGCGAAUGUACAAAAUCGAAAGCGGCAGCCGAAAUUUUCGUAGUAAAUCCCGAAUCGCAAGAAAUACUCGACAAUUGUAUUCGGACCCCCGUCUAUGGAACGUUUUACGUAUUAUUUUGUGCAUGGUAUUGACACAAUUGAGCAUAAUCUAUCAAACAUAAUUAAUGAUGUUUUUACGGAGUAUUGGCUUGAAUGAGCGAAAAUGCUAAAAUACUGGAUGAUACGUAAUUAAAUAAAUUACUUUUUGUGUGCAGCUGCAAAGUGCCGCACACAGACCAAUCCGAUUUGUUGAGUGUGUGCGUGUAUGUUGGGGGACGGUGAACGAUUUUGAAAAAUUUACCAUUUUGUGGAAAUUGGUUUUUGGGUUCAAUUUUCAUGCAUCACCAAAAGAUGAACGAAAUGUACUUACCAUUUUUUCAACGCAUCAGUUAAGAAAUCAAAUCAUUUGACGAACGAAGCGCUGCUGUUUGCAAAUUCAAUUUAAUAAGUAGGACUCAUCGUGAAGCGAAAGAUUAAGUGUUUUUCGGUGAUUCUGCCCAUCGCAUUUCAAUGAAGUAGCGUUUGUCAUCAUAGAGAAAGUAUCAUGGUCAAUGCCUGACUAAUGGCUGCUGUUGUUGUUGUUGUUGUGUUUUCUUCGCCUGUUAAUAGCUCAACCAGCCACAAAGUAUGCCAUAAAAUUGAAUUUAUUGUGCGGCUAUUUACAUCCGAUUCAAUUCCAAAUAAUGGAAACAUCAACACAGCACAAAUCAAAUGUUCGCUGUUAUGUUGUACGUGUUUUGUUGUUCUUGGUGGUUUUUUUUUUGUUUGUUUGUUUGUGCAACAACCAUGCGGAUAUUUAUCACAUUUUACUUGGCAAAAGGCAGUGAGCACUCAGCAGAAAAAUGGCAUUGUAUUUAGGCGUAUCGCGUAGAAAAUUGUCAACACAAACGAAACACGGAUGAAUUGCAGUAACUUCAGUGGCUGAAGGGUAGACCCAUUUCAUAGAAUACAUCGACAGACGAGGAUAAAGAAAAGAACUAGCAUAGAACAACAAUACCAACAACAAUACCAAGUCGAUGGAGCAUUGCGUUUGUGGCGCGCGUGUGAGCUCAAAUCGAAACCAGCAUUUGGUCGCUUGGAUUUUCGUUUUCUUUGCCAAACGAUUUCUCCAUCUUAUUGUAAAUGUACGACGCCACACAAACAUACACACACACACUUCAUAUGACAUUUUCAAACGAGGAUUUAUUUGCAUGUUAAAGGCCCUAUUAAAAUAACUAAUCCAUUGCCAUCGAAAAUGCUUUUGAUAAAAGUGAACGCGAUGUGUGGUUCAGUGCUCGUUUUGCAUUUCGUUGCCAUUUUCAAUGAUUUUCAAUGUUUUUUCUUUCUCAUUUCUCUCCGCUUCGCUUUUCCUUCAUUCAUUUUUUCACUAAACUUGUUCUACAACUCAUAUCAUCAUAUGAAAUUUAUGCAUAAGUAAUUUGUUUGAACAUUUUUAUGUCUUUUGACAUGCACAUUGAACGGUGAUAUUUAGUCGCUUGUAAUUUUUUCUUUCUUUCUUCUUCAUCUGUUUCUUCUUCUCUCCGGCUUUUUGGCGUACAUAUAUUGUUGAAUGAAUGCUGGCAACAGUCACAGUCAUAAUUGAACCGAUAAGUUGUAAAAAAGAGCCUUUAGUGUUUUUCAACGAUUAAGAACGAUGAAGAUUAUAAGAAUAGAAGCCAUUUAAACGAAUGCUUAUGUUUCUAUGUCAGCAACUGUGUUCCAACAACAGCAACAACAAACGAUUUUAGAGUUUCGUGCCGUUUUGAUAACUUAACAGGACGUAAAAUAGAGAGAGAGAGAGAGAGAGACUGCACAUAAAUUUUUUUUCGCCAUGAAUAUGUUUACAAUAUUGUCGAUUGAAACGCAAACCCCACUCCAUAUGGAAUCUCGCACACAAAUCAAUGAAGAAGGAUUCAAGUUGUUUCGGCCACUUGAUUUCAAACGAGAACACUGUAUUUCUGUAUAAUAUCCCUUCGACUGAAUUACUACAAUCGGAAAUAACAUGUGUUUAAUGAAGAUUUGUUUAAGCAGUACAUAUUUGCAAAACGUGCGUUUUAAUUUCAAUAUAAAAAAAUAGAUAGAAUUCCGAGAAGAUUAUUACUUGCCCUUUGUUGUUUGUACGCAUCAUGUAGCUCAGAAAAUCAUCUGAAAAAUUGAAACUCAAUCACAAAACGCACAAAUUGUUUCGCUUUAUUUUCUUCCAUUUUAUUAUAUAAUCUUUAUUGAAUACAUAACGACAAUUAAACAUUUUUUUUUUUUUUCGAAAUACAUGAAUUUUUGUUUAAAAA